ensembl:lncRNA
CAUGGGUCCUACAAAGAGGCAUGAAGUCUGUCUACGCUUGCGCAGAUCAUCAGUUACCUCACCUCUCCUCACCUCCAAUCACCUCUCCACAUUUCAGACCGCCUUGCCCCCAUCCCAUAAAUAUCCCUGAGUGCCUAUUUUCAGCGAAGUGGAUUUGAGGCUCAUGCUCUCGCUUCCUUGCAUGGCUGCCUUCAUGGAAUGGAGCAUCAGCGUGGGUGUCCAUCCAUGAGAAGCAGCAACUUAGGAAACCGUUGGAACGACUGAGCUCACCUGUGACCACUCAGCUGGAGACAACAGACUGCCACCCUGCUGUGUUCACUGAGACAGAAGACCUACCUGCUGUUUCCAUCAAUCACUGUGCCGACAGAGCAGUCUCGCGACUAUUGUAAAAGGGACAUUUCAAUCCUAUGUGAAACAUCCUCUCUGGAGUGAGGAAGAUUGGCCCUGAGCUAAGAGCACAGCUUGAUGAGAGUGCCUCUGCUCCUCGGGACGGAGGGAACACGGGAGAGGGAGACCUCCGGCGGUGGCGGCUGCCCGCAAUGCACUGUCGGGGAGUCCCCGAGGGAGGAAACGACUUAAAGCAGUUACUCCCUGAAAGUCUGCUUGCGAAGGAAGCUAAAUUUACUGUGAGGAUUCAGGCUAUAGUUUUUUUGUAGACUUUAUUUUUUAGAGCAGUUUUAGGUUCCCAGCAAAAUGGGCGGAAAGUACAGAGCUCCCCUAUGCUGUCCCCCACCCCCAGCCACAGCUUCCCUCGCUGUGGACAUACCCCCGGGAGAGCGGUACGUUUGUUACAAUCAACAACUUACAGUGACACAUCAUUAUCACUCAGAGUCCAUAGUUUACUUUAGGGCUCAGGCGUGGUGGUGUACGUUCUGUGGGUUUGAUAAAUGUUUAAUGACAUGUCUCCACCAUAGUAGUUCCAUCCAGAGUAGUUUCACUGCCCUAAAAUGCUCUGUGUCCGCCUAGUCAUCAAUCCCUUCCCCGAACUCCUGGCAACCACUGAUCUUUUUACUGUCUCCAUAGUUUUGCCUUUUCCAGAAUGUCAUCUAGUUGGUGUCAUGCAGUUUGCAGCCUUUCAGAUUGGCUUGUUUCACUUAGCAAUAGGCAUUCAAGUUCCUCCAUGUCUUUUCAUGGCUUGAUAUCUCAUUUCCUUUUAAUGUUAAAUAGUAUUCCAUUCUCUGCAUGUGCUACAGUUUAUUUAUCCUUUCACCUGCUGGAGGACAUUUUGGCUGCUUCCAAGUCUUGGCAAUUAUGAAUAAAGCUGUGAUCAACAUCCAUGUGCAGGUUUUUCUGUGGACAUAAGUUUUCCAGGCUAUAAUUUUUUAUCUUUAGUCCUUAGUAUCCGAGAACAGUAGCUGGUAAAAUUUGACCCAAGCAGUACAGCUGUAAAUCUAGUUCCUGCCAUGCCUCCUCACCAAGGCAACCAUCCCAAAUGUUAGCAAAGUCAAUACAAAGGUUGAAAGAACCAUGGCGGAAGUAUUUAACCAUAUUAUCCAGAGUUUAUUGUACUUGGAAACAAUUAGUCCACGAGUAUGCAGUAAGUACAGACUAAAUGCAAUCACAAACUUCCUUUUGAUUGCCUGAGACCUUGAAACAUGCCAUGGUUGCUUUUAACUAUAAAUAGUUUAGGCUGUAAUUAUGGAAGAAACAAUGUGGAAAUGGUUUGCACAAGGACUUUUAUAAAGGUUGUGACAACUGAACCAGUUGGUAGCGCCCAAGAUAAUCUUAAUUCAGAUCCUGGUAACAAGUUAGCACCAAAGACCCGAGAUUAGUAGAUUCGUAGAACUGAAGCCCCCAGAUAGCCGGAGAAGAAAAUCCAGUAUGUGUUUCAAUGAAAUAUAUAAUUCUUAAAAA